rnacentral:rRNA from 1 species
CCUACGGGAGGCAGCAGUGGGGAAUAUUGGGCAAUGGAGGCAACUCUGACCCAGCAACGCCGCGUGAAUGAUGAAGGUCUUCGGAUUGUAAAGUUCUGUGAUGGGGGAUGAACACAAUGACGGUACCCCAAUAGCAAGCCACGGCUAACUACGUGCCAGCAGCCGCGGUAAUACGUAGGUGGCAAGAGUUAACCGGAAUGACUGGGCGUAAAGGGCGCGUAGGUGGUUUAGUAAGUUGGCGGUGUAAUUCCGGGGCUUAACCUGGGCACUACCGCCAAGACUAUUAGACUAGAGUACAGGAGGGGUAAGUGGAAUUCCUAGUGUAGCGGUGGAAUGCGUAGAGAUUAGGAGGAAUAUCAGGGGCGAAGGCGACUUAUUGG